AGUGAACGCUGGCGGCAGGCCUAACACAUGCAAGUCGAGCGGCAGCGCGGGGGCAACCCUGGCGGCGAGCGGCGGACGGGUGAGGAAUUCGUCGGAAUCUGCCUUUUUGUGGGGGAUAACGUAGGGAAACUUACGCUAAUACCGCAUACGUCCUACGGGAGAAAGUGGGGGACCGCAAGGCCUCACGCAGAAAGAUGAGCCGACGACCGAUUAGCUAGUUGGUGGGGUAAAGGCCCACCAAGGCGACGAUCGGUAGCUGGUCUGAGAGGAUGAUCAGCCACACGGGGACUGAGACACGGCCCAGACUCCUACGGGAGGCAGCAGUGGGGAAUAUUGGACAAUGGGCGCAAGCCUGAUCCAGCCAUGCCGCGUGUGUGAAGAAGGCCUUCGGGUUGUAAAGCACUUUUGUCCGGAAAGAAAUCCCUGGAGCUAAUACCUUCGGGGGAUGACGGUACCGGAAGAAUAAGCACCGGCUAACUUCGUG
rnacentral:rRNA from 1 species